rnacentral:rRNA from 1 species
CCUACGGGCGGCAGCAGUAGGGAAUAUUGCUCAAUGGGGGAAACCCUGAAGCAGCAACGUCGCGUGGAGGAUGACGGUUUUAGGAUUGUAAACUCCUUUUGUUAGAGAAGAUAAUGACGGUAUCUAACGAAUAAGCACAGGAUAACUCCGUGCCAGCAGCCGCGGUACUACGGAGGGUGCAAGCGUUACUCGGAAUCACUGGGCGUAAAGAGCGCGUAGGCGGGUUAGCAAGUCAGAUGUGAAAUCCUAUGGCUUAACCAUAGAACUGCAUUUGAAACUGUUAGUCGAGAGUAUGGGAGAGGUAGGUGGAAUUCUUGGUGUAGGGGUAAAAUCCUUAGAGAUCAAGAGGAACACUCAUUGCGAAGGCGACCUGCUAGAACAUAACUGACGCUGAUGCGCGAAAGCGUGGGGAGCAAACAGGAUUAGAUACCCGGGUAGUC